rnacentral:rRNA from 1 species
UAAGCAUAUAAGUAAGCGGAGGAUAAGAAACUAAAUAGGAUUCCCUCAGUAAUGGCGAAUGAACCGGGAAUAGCUCAGAGUGGAAAUCGGGGCUUAUGGCCUUGAAUUGUAGUCUCGAAAUGCAAAGCCAACGGAGGCGCAGAUGUUAGCCUCUUGGAAAAGAGCGCCAGCGAGGGUGAGAGUCCCGUUCGUCAUCUGCAGCUUUCCGUACACGGCUUGCAUUUAUAGAGUCACGUUCCUCGGGAUUGGAGCGCAAAGUGGGUGGUAAAUUUCAUCUCAAGCUAAAUAUGGAUUGGAGACCGAUAGCAAACAAGUACCAUGAGGGAAAGGUGAAAAGGACUUUGAAAAGAGAGUUAAAAGUGCCUGAAAUUGCUGAAGGGGAAGCGAAUGGAACUAGUCUUCACGGUGAGAUUGUUGGGCGACGAUUGCGAGGGCAUGCUUCGCUAGCGCAAGCGACGGAGUGUGUUUCGAACAUCGUUUGCUCAAUGGUUCUGGCCGUGGAAGUCAUUGGCGAUUGGCGACCGAGGAUAACUCCAAAGGCAUGGUAACUCGUCUCCGGGUGAGUGAAUGCGUUUGGGUGAACUCGGUCGGUGAUUGUGUUCCGAUGUCUGGGAGGGCACAUAUCUAUGUGCCCCCUCCCCGUCAUCCAUCAAUGACUACAUGGUUCUUUUCGACCCGUCUUGAAACACGGGAAC